UCCCAGGUGGCUCAGAGGUUAAAGCAUCUGCCUGCAAUGUGGGAGACCUGGGUUCGAUCCCUGGGUAGGGAA
rnacentral:tRNA from 1 species